CGGGACAAUGGACACUGUGGCAGCCUCGCCAUGAAUUCACGAAGAAAACGCAUCUGAAAACAAGGCUGAAAGUCUCAGACUAAUUGACGUCUCUUUGUAGAUUAUGGAAAUGGGAAAUGGAGCCAGCUGUCAAUGGCACUCCACGAAUGCGGAUGUGAGGCACCCAGAAGACGGUCCUAAAGUGGAAAAGUGAACAAAACAAAGACAUUGUAAGGAUAAGAUCAUGACAACAGAUUCUCCAAAUAUUUUGAACUUGGAACCUGCUACGGACUUCUGCUGGUGCCUCGCAAUUAAAAACAUUGAACUGAAGAAUUAAUGUAAAAAGGGACUGCUGGAAUUAGACGAUAAUGAAGGGAUGCAAUUGCUGCCUAGAACUGUGAAGUAGCAAUGUCUUCUGACUUAUCACAAAACUGGGGUUAUUCAUAAACUGAUAUUCAUGCGUUAAAUACCAGGUGACAGCCUUUAAACAGCUCAAUACAAUCACCGUUCCAUAGCUGAGGAGAAAGUGAGGUUUGCAGAUGCUGGAGAUCAGAGCUGAAAAUGUGUUGCUGGAAAAGCGCAGCAGGUCAGGCAGCAUCCAGGGAACAGGAGAAUCGACGUUUCGGGCAUAAGCCCUUCUUCAGGAAUGGGCUGCUGUUUUCUCAGAUCCAUAGCUGCUGUUUUCUCAGUGCAGUAGUUAGCUUUCAACCUCUGGCAACAAAUGGCCACAAAUUGAUCAAAGGUUAACGCGCCUGCAUAAAUUAUCAACGAAUGCAUUUUACACACUGGGAGCAUCAACAGGAAAAUAAAUUUCUUCUGAUAGUGAAUUGUGAUAUACCUCAAAACCAAAUCAAGAACAACAAUCAAUUGAUCUGCUGUUGCCAUGGCCACCACAUAACUUGUUAAAAACACUUCAGCGGAGGAGUGCUGCCACUAAAUUGGCUGCUGCGAUACAUCUGCAGUUUUGCAAUUACACAACUGGUAAAAUACAUUGGCAUGACUGUAUAGUUUUUGAUACACUUUCAAAAUAUUGAUUCAUGUUAAGCAAUAGUUAACCAUUAGUUAGUUUUGCUGUUCUUUCUCAUAUAUCUCUGAAAAGCUAUUGGACUUUAAAUAGUGCUUAGUUAGAAAAUUAAAAGUAAUGUUCUGUAAUUGGAUAUAUUCUGGAUAAAAAGGACAUUCCCUGAAGGAACAUCAGAUUUAGGCAAAUUACAGUAAAGUUCAAAGGAUCUAUUAAAACCCUUAGGGGAAAAACAAUGCGAAACUCUAAUACAUUCAGUACAUGGAUUUCCAAGAGCUCCUCCCAAGCAUAGUUUAAUUUCUUCAGCCCUGGUGACAGUUCCUACAUUUAGUUGUAAUGCUUGGCAUAUUUCUGCUGGAUGUGAGGCGAAAUGCGACACCCUGAGUUUUGUGCAUGCCUGAGUGAUUCUCCACGUAGUGAUGUUGGCUGCAAAUGCUGCAGCCAAAAAAUCUUUGCUGAACUUUAAAAAUGACCGUCACAGAUCACAUG